rnacentral:rRNA from 1 species
CCGGAAGCGUUACCGGGGCGACAGCAAUAUGAAGGUCAGGCUGAAGACCUUGCCGGAUUAGCUGAGAGGUGGUGCAUGGCCGUCGUCAGUUCGUACUGUGAAGCAUCCUGUUAAGUCAGGCAACGAGCGAGACCCACGCCCACAGUUGCCAGCGUACUCUCUGGAGUGACGGGUACACUGUGGGGACCGCCGCUGCUAAAGCGGAGGAAGGAAUGGGCAACGGUAGGUCAGUAUGCCCCGAAUAUCCCGGGCUACACGCGAGCUACAAUGGUUGGUACAAUGGGUAUCUACCCCGAAAGGGGACGGGAAUCUCCUAAAACCAAUCUUAGUUCGGAUUGAGGGCUGCAACUCGCCCUCAUGAAGCUGGAAUCCGUAGUAAUCGCGUUUCAACAGAACGCGGUGAAUACGUCCCUGCUCCUU